rnacentral:rRNA from 1 species
UGAGAUUUCGGUCAAGUGAGGAAAUGGAAAGCGGCGGACGGGUGAGUAACGCGUAGGCAACCUGCCCCAUACAGAGGGAUAGCCUCGGGAAACCGGGAUUAAAACCUCAUAACACAUCUGGUUCACAUGGACAAGAUGUCAAAGAUUUAUCGGUAUGGGAUGGGCCUGCGUCUGAUUAGCUAGUUGGUGAGGUAACGGCUCACCAAGGCAACGAUCAGUAGCCGACCUGAGAGGGUAAUCGGCCACAUUGGAACUGAGACACGGUCCAAACUCCUACGGGAGGCAGCAGUGGGGAAUAUUGCACAAUGGGCGAAAGCCUGAUGCAGCAACGCCGCGUGAGGGAAGAAGGCCUUUGGGUCGUAAACCUCUGUCCUUGGGGAAGAAAAAAAUGACGGUACCCAUGGAGGAAGCCCCGGCUAACUACGUGCCAGCAGCCGCGGUAAUACGUAGGGGGCAAGCGUUAUCCGGAAUUAUUGGGCGUAAAGAGUGCGUAGGUGGCUAUUUAAGCGCGAGGUGAAAGGCUAUGGCUCAACCAUAGUAAGCCUUGCGAACUGGAUGACUUGAGUGCAGGAGAGGAAAGCGGAAUUCCUAGUGUAGCGGUGAAAUGCGUAGAUAUUAAGAGGAACACCAGUGGCGAAGGCGGCUUUCUGGACUGUAACUGACACUGAGGCACGAAAGCGUG